AUUGAACGCUGGCGGCAUGCUUUACACAUGCAAGUCGAACGGUAACAGGCCUUCGGGCGCUGACGAGUGGCGAACGGGUGAGUAAUGCAUCGGAACGUGCCCAGAGGUGGGGGAUAACGCAGCGAAAGCUGUGCUAAUACCGCAUAUUAUCUGAGGAUGAAAGCGGGGGACUAAGCAGCAAUGUUUGGCCUCGCGCCUUUGGAGCGGCCGAUGUCAGAUUAGGUAGUUGGUGGGGUAAAGGCCUACCAAGCCGACGAUCUGUAGCUGGUCUGAGAGGACGACCAGCCACACUGGGACUGAGACACGGCCCAGACUCCUACGGGAGGCAGCAGUGGGGAAUUUUGGACAAUGGGCGCAAGCCUGAUCCAGCAAUGCCGCGUGCAGGAAGAAGGGCCUUCGGGUUGUAAACUGCUUUUGUUACGGAACGAAAAGGACUCUGGUUAAUACCUGGGGCUCAUGACGGUACCGUAAGAAUAAGCACCGGCUAACUACGU
rnacentral:rRNA from 1 species